ACCUUUAUCACAGUUAAGUUGCUUCAAUCUCACAUUGUAUAUAUAACUUGUAAACUUUGGUGUCAUCUGAUCUUCAUACACAACUCUUAAUCCCUGAGCAUCAACAAUGACAUAUACCUCCCUUAAUAUUCUCUAAAUGGGAUGAUAUCUUAAACAAACCAAAUACCAAGCACUUGAUGUCCUUGUAGAUGUUCCAGUCAUUAACCACUUCUUCUCUUGUAACUUCUUUAUUUAAGCUACCCCCCUUAAAAGGGUCAACUAGGGGACACAAGAAAGUUAGCUCGCAUGUUUCCCAGCCGAUUUAACUAACAUUGAGAACUUCUAACAUCCCGAGGCACUUAUGUGUAAGAGAAGAACAAAUAUCCUGAAACUUUCUCAUGAUAUGAAAAAGACCAGCGUAGUAAAAUAGAUAUAACUCUUAUUAUGUGAAUCCAAUAGAGUUGUAGCUUAUACCGUUAGAAAACUUAUGAAAUUCCCUACAACUUUCAUGUAGAAGACCUCCUUAG
rnacentral:lncRNA from 1 species